rnacentral:rRNA from 1 species
AUGAAGAAAGAAACAACGGCAGUAGGACGCAUCGCAGUCAACGGGCGUGGUCACCUGCAGACGACGGGGACGUUCGGAGAUGCAGCGGCAAAAGCAAAACAGCAGCGACAGCAAAGAAGCCGGACGUUCACCGCAGGCGGUGGGGUAGCGAGGGUGAGGCGGAGGCGCCGGGAGCUGGCAGGGUGGAGCCGAGGAGGAGGUCCGGCGACGGCCGGUACUGUGGCUCCGGCGAGCUCCGGCCAAAACAAUUGGGACGAGCGGUGCGGGGCUCCUGCUGGGCGUCGAGGACGACGGGUGCGGGCACGGGAGCGACGGGCAGGCGAGCGGGGGCUCUCCCGGUGGAGGCGGCGAAGGAAACGGACGCAGGGAGCUCCUCUCCCUGGCAGCAACAUGUGGCGGCAGCACGGGAACGAGGGGGGAGAUGGGGAUCGGGGGAGAGCGAGGAGAUGGGAGUCGGGCGGCGUGUGCGAUCUGCCUUCUCUGGCGGCGCAAGGGGAAAGCGAGAGGGAGAGCUGGGGAUCGGGUAGGGUUUAG